rfam:Gossypium hirsutum cultivar TM-1 chromosome 2, whole genome shotgun sequence
UGUUAAAAUUUUUAUCCAUUUGUACUAUUAAAAAUUAACAUAGUUGACAGAAUAACCAGAAAGUAACACAUGGUAUGCCAUGUGUACCACAUGCUGACGUACAAGGAACAGUUUUUAACAAUAAAAAUGAAUGUAAUUUUUAACA